rnacentral:rRNA from 1 species
UACAGAGGGGGCAAGCGUUAUUCGGAAUUAUUGGGCGUAAAGCGCACGUAGGCGGAUUGUUAAGUCGGAGGUGAAAUCCCAGGGCUCAACCCUGGAACUGCCUUCGAUACUGGCUAUCUCGAGUCCGGGAGAGGUGAGUGGAACUGCGAGUGUAGAGGUGAAAUUCGUAGAUAUUCGCAAGAACACCAGUGGCGAAGGCGGCUCACUGGCCCGGUACUGACGCUGAGGUGCGAAAGCGUGGGGAGCAAACAGGG